rnacentral:lncRNA from 1 species
CCUUUUCCAGUGGGGUGAGGCAUGACAUGUGAUAUCAAAUCGAACUUCAAGGUAAUAUUAGUGCAUAGUAGUCAGCUAGGUGGGUAAUAGAGUGGUGGACAUGUCAAAUAGAUUGGUAUUUAUUAUCACUUAUGGGAUAGUGAAACAGUGACCUUUUAGUGAUUGCUCACAUGGAUUCACUUGUUAGCUAGACAAACUAGGUUUGAUUGGUUAAUUUGGCGGGUCUUGCUUGCUGGUCAUCCACUGUGGGCUUGGGACAUGGCAGUUGUAAGAUCACAUGUAUGAAAUUAUGACAUAAACUAAUCAUGUUUUUUUAACUUCAUAUUAGAACUUCUCUUAGUUCUUACAGAUAUUGAAAUUGUUUUAUGACACUAUCUUGGUUAUUACAAAUUGUGCCUAGAUCAUAUUAUUUUGUAUUAUCAACUGGAUGGAUUUGAGCAAACUGGUAGGUAGUAUGUCAAUCAUUUUUGUAGUUUCAAAAGAUGUAUUGAUUUGUGUUGGAUGUUCGGAUAAAUUGUUUGUAGCUUAUGUUAAUGUUACCGAACAUGCAUCACUCUCUAACUUGAACAUUUGACAUUUGAUUUCUGAAAAGGUGUUUUCAACAGUUUUUCAGCUCAAAUCUGAAACAGCCAAUUUCAGUUUGUUUCUUAGAAACAGUUUUCUGGCAGUCGACCCAAAGAUAUAGAACUUUCUUUUGAAAAAUCACUUCUCGACCUCCUAAAUAAAUCACUUAUCCAGGUGUAGAAGCUAAAGAGACCAUCGAAUACGUUCUAUAUGUGGUUAUUCAAAAGUUUACUCUAUAAGUAAUACAUAAAUUUUGUCUGAUUGCUAGACAGUGUAAAACUCUGUGUGUGCAGUUUGCUGCUUUGAGUUUCUUGCAAUUUAACAGUUGUUCAGACACUGUUCCAAGAAAAUAAAUGGAUGUUUGGAACUGUUGUUUGUUUAUGUUACAUGAAAGGCAACUGGAAUCUGACAUGCUCAGAUAUGUUUGGUCUCUGUUUGGUUCUGCUAAAAAAAA